rnacentral:misc_RNA from 1 species
GAAUUAAAUGUAUCUGUUGCUAUUGUCACCAUUUCCCAUAUCUGUUUUUUGGACAAAAAUCAAACUCCUGGAAAGAAUUAUUUGAAUUCCUUGGAGAGUUUAAAUAGUAAAUGUAGAGCCACAGAUUCCUGAGUAUUCAUCAGUUAUGGGCUAUCUUGCUCCUGCAUCUCUUUUUGGAUGGGCAACUAGGGCAUGAUAGACUGAUAGUCAUUAUGAGUGCAUUGAAUUUUUUAUUGUGUUUGAUUGGCUAAUGCCAUAUCUCAUUUUCAUGGAUGAUCUGACUAUUGAUCUGCCCUAUCUUCUACUUGAAAAUUAGUUGACUUGGCAUUAUCAAAUGCAAUU